CCCAGAUUUACCUGGAAGCUGUGGAAUACUGGGGAGAAUGGGAAAGACCUCUUGGAGAAGAUUGGACUUGAAAUGAGGCUUGAAGGAAGCCGGGUAGACUGAGAGAUGGAGGGCCCUUCCUGAGCCUGGCAGCCACCUUAUUGGAGGAGAGGGCGGCGCUGAGCUGUAUCCAACCUCUGAGGCACGUGGGCACAGCAGAAUGAAUGUGCCAUCCGCAGAGUGGUGUAGAAGGAAGAGUGCUGGAUUUGGAGUGAGAGUACUUAGGUUCAAAUCGCUGCUUUUCUACCUACAAGAUUUUUGGUAAGUUACUUGGUCUCUGGGAUUCAGGGUC
rnacentral:lncRNA from 1 species